rnacentral:rRNA from 1 species
AUUGAACGCUGGCGGUAUGCUUAACACAUGCAAGUCGAACGGAAACGAUACUAGCUUGCUAGUAGGCGUCGAGUGGCGGACGGGUGAGUAACGCGUAGGAAUCUGCCUGAUAGGUGGGGGAUAGCCCGAAGAAUUCGGAUUAAUACCGCAUAAUCUAUUCGUAGUAAAGUGGGGGACUUUCGAGCCUCACGCUAUCAGAUGAGCCUGCGUAAGAUUAGCUUGUUGGUAGGGUAAAAGCCUACCAAGGCGACGAUCUUUAGCUGGUCUGAGAGGAUGAUCAGCCACAUCGGGACUGAGACACGGCCCGA